rnacentral:rRNA from 1 species
AUGGAGUGCACCCUUAAGACUAUCUUUUGGAACGUUCGUGGCCUUCACUGUAGAUCCAAGCACAUCAAGGUCCGCUUUGUUAUUUCUUCUGCUUCGCCGAACAUCAUGUGCCUGCAAGAAACAAAGCUAGAUUCCUUCUCGUUGCCUAUCGUCGUUGAGACGCUUGGACCCUGCUUCUUGGGUUACUUCUUCCUCCCGGCCAUUGGCACCCGCGGUGGCAUCCUCCUCGCUUGGAACACAAUGAGGUUGCUAUUUCUAGCCCUUAUGUUGGCCAGCACCACAUCACGGCCCUUGUCUCCUCCAUAUCCGGCGCGCACCUGUGGUGGAUCACCGGUGUGUACGAACCACCGGAGGACGAUGUCAACAUCUUGUUCCUCGAGGACCUGCAAGACACUCGUGCAACUUGCACUGGCCCCUGGCUCCUUGGGGGCGACUUCAACCUUGUCUCCUCUUUCGAGGACAAAAGUAACAAGCGUAUCAACAGACGCACUUCUAGCCGAUUUCAUCGCUUCAUCGCCAACAUGGCCCUGCGUGACGUGUACAUGCAUGGUCGUUGCUACACGUGGUCCAAUGAGAGGGAAUCGCACAUGCUUGUGUGUAAUGACUAGUUCCUAUGCACUUUUGGUUGGGGGCUUUCACGACCACACUCCAUCCUCCGGUGCCUUGCCUCGAUAG